UCUUCGGACUUUGAGACCGGCGCACGGGUGCGUAACGCGUAUGCAAUCUACCUUUUACAGAGGGAUAGCCCAGAGAAAUUUGGAUUAAUACCUCAUAGUAUAGCUGUGCCGCAUGGUACUACUAUUAAAGUCACAACGGUAAAAGAUGAGCAUGCGUCCCAUUAGCUAGUUGGUAAGGUAACGGCUUACCAAGGCUACGAUGGGUAGGGGUCCUGAGAGGGAGAUCCCCCAUACUGGUACUGAGACACGGACCAGACUCCUACGGGAGGCAGCAGUGAGGAAUAUUGGACAAUGGGCGCAAGCCUGAUCCAGCCAUGCCGCGUGCAGGAUGACGGUCCUAUGGAUUGUAAACUGCUUUUAUACGAGAAGAAACACUACUUCGUGAAGUAGCUUGACGGUAUCGUAAGAAUAAGGAUCGGCUAACUCCGUG
rnacentral:rRNA from 1 species